rnacentral:rRNA from 1 species
UGGGGAAUAUUGCACAAUGGGGGAAACCCUGAUGCAGCGACGCCGCGUGAGCGAAGAAGUAUUUCGGUAUGUAAAGCUCUAUCAGCAGGGAAGAAAAAAUGACGGUACCUGACUAAGAAGCACCGGCUAAAUACGUGCC